rnacentral:rRNA from 1 species
UUCCGGUUGAUCCUGCCGGAGGACAUUGCUAUUGGGAUUCGAUUUAGCCAUGCUAGUCGAACGAGUUCACACUCGUGGCGCAUAGCUCAGUAACACGUGGCCAAGCUACCCUUCAGUCGGCAAUACCCUCGGGAAACUGAGGCUAAUGGCCGAUAUGGAACAGUCGCUGGAAUGCACUGUUUUCUAAAGACAUCGCUGAAGGAUGCGGCUGCGGCCGAUUAGGUAGACGGUGGGGUAACGGCCCACCGUGCCAGUAAUCGGUACGGGUGAUGAGAGUCAGAGCCCGGAGACGGAAUCUGAGACAAGAUUCCGGGCCCUACGGGGCGCAGCAGGCGCGAAACCUUUGCACUGCACGGAAGUGCGAUAGGGGAGUCCCAAGUGCGAGGGCAUAUUAGCCCUCGCUUUUGUUGACUGUAAGGUGGUCAACGAAUAAGAGCUGGGCAAGACCGGUGCCAGCCGCCGCGGUAAUACCGGCAGCUCAAGUGAUGUCCCAUAUUAUUGGGCCUAAAGCGUCCGUAGCUGGCCAGCCAAGUCCAUCGGGAAAUCCACCCGCCCAACGGGUGGGCGUCCGGUGGAAACUGGCUGGCUUGGAACCGGAAGGCUCAGAGAGUACGUCCGGGGUAGGAGUGAAAUCCCGUAAUCCCGGACGGACUACCGAUGGCGAAAGCACUCUGAGAAGACGGCUUCGACAGUGAGGGACGAAAGCUCGGGUCUCAAACCGGAUUAGAUACCCGGGUAGUC